UGACAUACAAAUAAUUUCACAAAAUACAGAAAUUUUAUAUAUUUCGUUAAUAAAAAAUUGACUGCCCUUUAUGUUGUGCAUAUCUAUCAAUUCACCAAUAAAAUAAGUUGCAUAAAUUCAACAUGUUGACAGAGAUACAAAUUAAAAAAUGAUAUUCAUGUAAUGUAAAAUGUACAAGUGUGAUUAUUUUCACCAAACGUUUAGGAUUGAAACUGAAGGAGUUGAGUACACACAAAGUCACUCUUUAUCAUAGCCUUUACUUUGAAGAUUUUUCCAAAUUGUCAAGUUCAGUUAACAACGAAUAAAUUACAUUAUCCUAAACUAAUUUAAUGUCGUAAGAUGCAGUAACUGUGUGUGUAAAUAAAAGUGAAAAGUACGUAGAUAGAAACUCUACAAGACACAAACAAUGCAAAUAGGAAACCACUUUUGGUCGAUCUUUCGGUUCUCAUUUCACGCAAAUUAUCGUACGAUAACCCCGAACAAACAAGUCAAUGUUUUAAUGAUCAUAUUUUAGGCUACCAACAUUCUGAUAACAAUAACAUUAAUAAUCGCAAACCUGGUGGUCAAUCAUUUAAGCAGAUUGUCUACCAACAAAAUGACUGCAAAAGUAUCCAUAAAAAUUAAGGUCUUUAUCGGUAACUAGCCCCCUGCUUGCUUUAUGAAUUCGAUUAUCUAUAUUCUUUUCCAUAAUCGAACAACUAAGUUUCCUGGAUCUCAUCAAACAAUCAUCAUUCCAGGAUACUUUUAUUGAAAGUGUAUCGAAUUAGUCCUAUUUCAUUUUGUGAUAUUGUUUUAUUUAUUAUUUGUAUCUAUGUACUCGUAUACACUGUUUUGAAUCUAGAAACUAAAUACA
rnacentral:lncRNA from 1 species